AACAUAGAAAUUGAAAAAGUUAAAUUCGCUCUUAAUUGGCUUUUUUAUUCAAACCGUAGAAGUAGACUUAGAGAAUAUUAUAAAAAAUGUGACGAAAGUAGCCUUAGAGAAAGAAAGGUUCCUAAACCUUGCUCGACUAGGUGGAACUACAUGUAUGAAAGCUUAGUAGUGGCGUACGAAUAUAGAAGCCCAAUAACCGCUACUUAUAAUUCUAGGGAUUGUGAGGAUGAAGAUAAUGAUAUGCUU
rnacentral:lncRNA from 1 species